AGUACCUGUAAACAGUUGUUUUCAGUCAAUCAAAUGUAUUUUUUUAAUUAACAUACUUUUCUUUUUACAGGAAUUGAAGCUUGAGUAUUACUGGAGAAGGUAGUGGUGGUGGUGGUGGUGGUGGUGGUGGCGAAUAAAGUGGACAUCUGUUAGACUUUCCUUUCUAAUGUUUUAAUCAAAUUUAACGAGCAACUACAGUAUCACGUGGAAUCACGUGUGACCGGUAGCAACGAGAAUAAGAAAGUGAAAUGAUCUAAUAAAUGAAGCGCCUGAAGCAAAUCAUCAGCACAAAAUCUGCAGCCGGCGUUUAGGAGACUUUUUUUUUUUGUCGCCAUAAUGCCACGCACUCGAUGUUCAACGCGUUCGAAUAGAAAUAUUCCGUACAACAAGUGUUAAUUUGAUCGGUUUAAUCUACCAUACAAUCGUGUAUAUAUUAUGUAUAUGUAACGUGUCCUUUUUGUGUUCCUUUUUGCAAGCGCAAAGCGGACAGGAGGAUCGUGAGAUAUUCUUUCUCUCUUGGAAAGGAAAAGAAGGAAUCUUAGCUGAGUAGUUUGGCGUGGCCUAAAAUAAAAGAAGAACAAAAUUAAUUUGACCUUGCAACGAAUUCUGAUAUAAUGUAUUUGCUUUCUGAUUCAAGUGCAAUGAAAUUACACUAUUCUCGUUAUUUCUUAUAAAUUUACAUUGUUAAGGUAAACAAAAGAAGAAAUAUUAAAAAGCUGUAGUAUAGUAUUCAAGAUAAUACACGUGAAGAUCUAAAGAAAUGAUCUACAUAAAUAUUUCAUUAAUAUUCUUCAUACAAAAUGCAUUUCAUAUGCAACAACCUGAGUAUACCAACAGAAAAUAGUGAAAUUGAAAAUUAACAAAAAAUAUUUCUUUCCUAGUUUUGAUAUAAUUUAAUUAUUCUGUUUCCGACUGUAAGUGCCACGAGUUCCGGUUCACUUUGCGUAUCGUUGAAACGCUAUUAAUUCUAAUCCGAGAUCAAUUUACAGUAAACUCUUUUCUCUCAGAAGAAGAAGAAGAAGAGAAAAAUACGACGAAUGUAUUAUUGGGAAUGUCGCAGGCAUUUUUAACCGAGUGUCAUUCAUCUCGAAAGAGAAUUCUCUGUCCCUCGAUUUUUCAUCGCUCUCCAAUCUAUUGUAAACAUUUCGUUCUUUAAUAACAAUAAAACACGACAUUCUUCUUCAAUGAUUCUUUGAUUAUAUUCAUCCUUCAUCUUUGAUCUUACAAAAGGGAAUCAUAUAUUUUCUUUGAAAGAAUUAUGUUUAUAAUUAUUUUACAAAAAUAAAUAUCGGUUAUCCUUUUUUUCGUAGUGUAAUUCAAUGAGACACGAGAUGUUCUUUUGCAAGAUCAAAAACGAAGAAAUAUUGUGCGUUGGGAAAAAUCGGAUUUUUCCAGGAAAACAGUGACAAAGAGGAACGAGUGACAGAGAGCGAGGAAAAGAGUAGCGAGUUUUAUCGGAUUCAUAUUUUUUUUUUUCAUCGUGUGUUUUUCGUUUUUUUUUUUUUUUUCUUUCAUUCUCUCUUAGUUUUUGUUUUCCUUAUUCCAUAUCACAGCCAUCAUUAGCGCUACUGGACUUCGGGAUUCACCAUUUCGUACAAUCUUCGAACCGUUAAACCUUACGAUUUACUACUUAACGCGUUAAAAAUUCGAAUUUCCACUAGGAUAUCCGUCCGCAUAUUUACAAAUAAACCAUUCGCGUCAUUCUUUCGUUUAAACAAAAUGAAAAAAUCAAAAGGAUGUGUGCGAAACAAUUGCAAGUUCCAUGAAUUAAUUUUUUCCAAAAUUUCUUUAUUUCAAUGGAAAGAAUGACACGAGUUGGUUUUCGUAACAUGAAUAAUAAUUCUGAAGGAAUUACGUGAAAUCUUAUCGACUAAUUAAUUCAUUUAUCCAACCUCCGCCUUUUAUCCUGCCGCUGCGAUUUGAUUUUUCUUCUUUUCAUUUUCGAAUGGUAACUCGCAACGAUAGGAAUAAUUUGACAAACAGACGCAUGCGGGAACGGCUCAAAUACCGGCGUAUUCGCAAUAUUAAAUUCUCCUAAAACAGAGAGAGCUUUCAUCUUUUUAUUCUGAUCUUCAAUCUUUAUUUCUUUCUUCAAGGGAAUGCACAACCAAUUUCUGCAUCAAGAGAUUUAAUUAACUAGGAUCUAUACUAAUAUUAUAUCUAUCUACAACUUAGCUUUCUUAAUUACUAUUUACUUUUGAUAGUUCAAGUGUUCAUUCAUAAGCUUGUACAUGGAAGAACAUUUUUCUAAUUAGUUAGCAACAAGAUACUUUUGUUAAUUUAAAAGAACACACUCUUAGUAGUUUGGAUACUCUAAUUAUUUCACCACCUAGUAAUCUAUUUUUCAAUUUUUUCCCUUAUAAAGCAAGAAAUGAGAUAUCGAACGAUUUUAAGAAAAGGUUGUACACCCCCGAUUCUUAAUAUUAAGCACCUGAACGCAUUAUUAUAACGAGCGAGGUGGAUCGUACCUCCUACUUGGAUCUAUUUAAUUUGAUAACGUCAAGACGGACACAUCGAGAAAACGUCCUGAUGGAUCGCUUGAAUCGCGAGAAAACUUUAAAAAAGGAACGAUUGUCAGGAUCGUAGGAGAUACAUUUCUUUCUAGCUAACUCGAGAUCCAACCUCCUCUGAAAACGCUUCGAUCCGUAUAUGUAUAUAUAAUAUAUAUGUAUAUGUAUAUUAGGAUUAAAAGGACGAAAGUUGUUAACAGCGAAAAUCAUUUAACGAGGAGAAAAAAUCGGUAUCCUCUGAUAACGAUUCUUCCUUCUACUUAAUUUCGUUUACAUUUAACACAGUGAAUCAGUCCUAAUUAACACGUUCCCAAGUUUUAUUAUUCCUUUAACUUAAAGUAUACAAAUAUUCUUGUUAAUUUGUUAAAAGAAAAGUUCUUCCCGAACGCUACAUUCUCUUUCGUAGUGUUAUGUUAGAAAAAUAAAAAUUAAUAUAGAUAAUAGAAAAAUGUUACAAAGGAACGUGUUAAUUGCAGGGAUGAUUCUGCAACGGUAUCGUGAUCCUUUCACGAAAUCAAUAGUCUGUAAAUACUUUCACUAUCUACAAUCCGCUGGGUAUCGUUCAGUGGAGACUAUCGACGAACAGAUAGUUGUAAAAAUUGUGCAAUUACUCGCGGAAACACUCGUCUAGUUACUCAAAAUUGUAGAACAGAGAACAACUUGGUUCCUCUAUGUAAGUAAAACUCAGAAACUCUUCUGUUAUGAUACAAUCAUUCGGAUAGACUGUGAAUCUUUAUACUGUUAUUUCAAUAUAUUGUAAAUGCAUAAACAUUCCCAAUCUAGUCUUGUGUCUGUUUAACGCGUUGAUCUCAAUGGAAAUUGGAUUUAUAAAUGAUUUUUGAUUAAUGUAACCCAAGAAGAAGAGUUUGCAUCCAUUGUGUCAAUGCAUUAAACUGCACACGCUACAAAGAGUAUUCUGAUGCUUUAACACUUUGAUGUCUGAUGUCAUGUACUGCUUACAAUUUCUGAAUUGGUAAUUUUGCAGGGUACGUUACAGAAGCUCUUAAAUAUAAACCUUUCAGAUAACAAGAAAGGUGCAUAAAAUUACAAGGGUCCCAUGAAACACUCAGCCAUCAAAGUGUCGAGACUGUAUUUGACCGCCUCGCUUUUGGAGGAGGAUGAUUCUCCUACAUGGUUCUCCAAAAGAUUACAAAGAUAAAAUACAUGUUUACAAUCGUUGAGCAAAUCGUGGAAUUAACGCUCGGUGUUACAGACAAGUUCUGACGUGUCGCGCGAAUACAAAAGCGAAAUCGUUGGAACGGAACUGCGCUCAUAGAAAAAACGGAAGUCCCCUAAAGACCGUCGCGAAAUCCCCCGAGUCGCUGGGGAUCAUUUUCGCAUUACAAUAGUAACAACGUGCUGAUAUAAUCGCGCUUAAUCAUACCGAUCUUGUCACACCAAAUGGGAGAGAAUUCGUGAGCAUAACUGCAAGGGUAACGAUCAACGAGUACGAACAAGAAUGCGUUCUUCUCUUUAAUAAAGAUAAUGCGCGUAACGUUGGUAUUUAUUCCUGGUCGGGUACAGACGUUCCCCUUCGUGGAUUGGCGAGCAUAGAAAUGAAAAUGGCAUGUUAAAGAGUUAUUCGUAGACACUUAGAGGGUAUUUGCGUACAGUAUUAAACAAAUGUACCUUCCUCCAAAAAUAAAAAAAAAAAUCAUUAUUUUUUCCUAUACAAAUUCAUUAUUACUUCUUAGUCUGUUAUUCUACUUUCGAAAUACAUUUGUUUAUUACUUCGUAUGAUAAUCGCUCGACAUAGGACAUAGCCAUGCAUUGAACAAGUUUUCUGUUAAAGCCACACGUUUCUGCAAAUGCAAUCUGUUUCAGAACUAACGGAUUAGCAACGACGCUCGCUAAAUAAUAAUUAUUCGCAGGCAUAUAACAAUGUGUGUGUCAGGGGAGCCGCAUACUUUAUAUGCUGCUCGAUACGCAAUUAGACAAUUAGCAUUUCUAAUAUACAAUGUGCUUUUGUGUAACUGCCACCACCUACUCUCCAUUUUGAGCAACAUACAAAGACGAGCCAUGGAACAUUGUGUUACAAAAAAUCCUACUUUGAAUAGAGAGAAAAUACGUUUUUUGUUUAACAUAAACACUGCAAAAUUCAUCAGUCGCGCUGUGUUUCUAAUAUAUAAAAAAAUGAUCUUUAAUCCUAAGUGUUUAUAUGCACUUAAUUGAAAAAAUGAUAAUAAAAUAAUUAAAAAAAAAAAAAUAGAACGUAAUUCACGCUCACAUUCAUUGAAGGAUCAUAAGAGGGGAUAUAACAAAUUUCUUGUUCAACAGAAAAUGUAUUUCCAAAGUCUCUUUAAGUGACAGAUAACAAAACAUUUAUAUGUAUAGGAAAUGCAACGCUUUAUCAAAAAGAAAUAAAGAAAAAA